GACGAACGCUGGCGGCGUGCUUAACACAUGCAAGUCGAACGAGUGGCGAACGGGUGAGUAAUACGUGGGUAACCUGCCCUCUUUUUGGGAUAAGCCUUGGAAACGGGGUCUAAUACCGAAUAAAGGGGGAUGGGCUUGCGGCCUAUCAGCUUGUUGGUGGGGUGAUGGCCUACCAAGGCGGUGACGGGUAGCCGGCCUGAGAGGGUGACCGGACACAGUGGGACUGGGAUACGGCCCAGACGCCUACGGGAGGCAGCAGUGGGGGAUAUUGCACAAUGGGCGAAAGCCUAAUGCAGCGACGCCGCGUGGGGGAUGGAGGCGUUCGGGUUGUAAACCUCUUUCGCUGUCGAGCGGGUAGGUGGAGAAGAAGCGCCGGCUAACUACGUGCCAGCCGCCGCGGUAAUAC
rnacentral:rRNA from 1 species